UUUCUCUGUAAAGAGGUUUUUAUUUAAAUAGUAAAUUGAGGAUAUAAUAAUCAUUCAAGUGGCCCCAAAGUAGGUCAUACAUAAACAAAAGACUUACAUAAAAUGUUGUCUUUCCCCCUAACCUGCAGCCUUACUCCCUGAAAGUAACCACUAAUAAAGUUUCCUUGUGCAAAACCAUUCUAGUUGACAAAGAACUGAACAUAGGAGUUUAUGAGCGUGUAUGUUUAACUCAAAUAAAAUCAUAGUAGAGAUCUUUGUAUCUCAAUACCAUACCUUUCUUUAUCAAUUCAUGGUUCUUAUUUCUAUAUGCCAUGAUUAUUUAACGUGGAUAAAGGUGUUUUUAAUAAAAUUUAUAUAUAUCACACAUACAUACACAUAUCCCUUUUCAGCAGCUGACCCUGUGACUAUGAAAACGCUAAAAUGACUGAUUUUCCAACAAAUGAAAAUCCUCUUUAAGACCAGAAAAGGAAAACCAGCUUCCCUGUUCUUUUUUAAUCCCCAAAUUAUUAAUUAACUUAGAAGGAUUUAAUCUUAAAGUAGUAAAAAAUAUCCUAGCUGUACUUGCAAAGGUAACUUGUACCUUCUUCGCAGCUAGGACAUCACUUCUGAUAUCUUGAUGAAACAGAGCUUUAGACAACUUCUGUUUCCAUUGUGACUAACUUUAAACUCAUCAACAAACACAUGCAAGGUCCUAGGAUGAACUGCUUAAGCACUAUAUAAUUAUCAAUAUGGAUGAAUAUCAGAACAAAGAAGUCUGGGGUUAAAUAUGGACCCUGGAACAAGAACUGACAACAGUGGAAAGGAAAUUAACUUCUUAUGUAAGAGGCAUAGUUUUCUAUGAUUUACACAUAAAAACUCUUCUUAAUGAAUUAUGUGAAUAUCCGUCUCAAAAACUAUACGCUCAUUUAAGUUCUCACUCUUAUCGCAGAAUAUCUUUUAGAAUAAACAUCCUAAAAUUAUAUGUUUUUUUUGGGGGGGGGGUUGUUGUCAUGGCUGCACCUCAUGGCCUAUGAAAGUUCUCAGGCCAGGGAUUGAAUCCCAGCCACAGCUGUGGCAACACUGGAUCCUUUAACCCACUGUGCUGGGCCAGGGAUUGAACCCACGCCUCUGCAUCGACCUGAGACACUACAGUCAGAUUUUUAACGCAUUGCCCCUUUAAAAACAUAAGAAUCCAAUUUAGAUUUUCAAAAUUAAAAAUAAGCCUUGUUUCAAAAAAGAAAUCACUGUUGUCCAACAUACAACAUGCAUGGCUGGCCACAGAGAGAUGCAAGAGUGUGAGGGGGGCACCUGACUUCUCCUAAAGGUGGAGGGCUCCCGCCCUCCUUCUGAAAUCUUCAAGAAGACAGUUAUGUUUUCUUCCUGCAAACUGUGUAAAGAGCUAGUGCUUCAGGGUUUGUUCUCAAGAGUGAGCCGGGGAAGCAGCGAGCGUGCAGGAGGAGGACAAAGGGCGUCUCUCCACAGAGUCCUAUGCUCAGAGGGAGAAUUAAUUAAUUAUGUUAUCACUAUAAACCCCUAACCCGGCCUGGUCCCAGCCCUCUUGACUCUAACUGGGGAGGUGCCUUCUGCAGUCCAGCCAAACUGCCAGCCCUUCUGGGGAGUGAAUUCACCGGGAACCCAUCCAGGAGCCUUCACUGCAAGACCAGCUCAGGGCUUCCCUUCAAAUGGGCCAAGCUCUGCCCUUGCCACCGCCGCUAAUGUAGGUAAACACUGCUAGCUUAACCAGCACAAAGGGAGCAUAACAAAAAUCACGCAACAAAAUCAAAUAGCCAGCAGUCACCGGGAGUCAGUAAAACUUAGACUGGAGUAGGGUAGAGAGCAAUGAAACAAAACCAUCAGGACAAAAGGAGACUUUGAGCAGGACAUAAAGUGUGGAGUGGGGUGGACGAGGGGUGAGGUUUAAAAAAGAAAAGACAGAAAGUUGAGAAAUUUCAGAGAAAUCAUGAGUUUUCUAUGCAAACCAUUACAGGGGCUUCUUUUCGGCCACAAUAGUAAAUAAACCCAGACAACUCAAUGCUAGGCUACUUGCUGCGGGGCCUGAAGUCUUUCCUCAUUUGAAUAGUAUUUUAGGAAUGUUUUGUCAAUGUGUCGGAUGAUUAUUCACUUCUACCGCAUUCUUCCCUUCACCACGAUGAUUAUGGUCGUAGUAACCAUUUAUUUUAUAGGCAGAACAUUCAAACAGUAAAUGAUGACCUUUUUUUAACGUGUUAAAAUUCAUAUAUUUACCCAAAAUUCUUUUAAAAAGGAAGGUUAACUUUAACAACUGUUGCUCAUAGCAACAGAGGAACAAAAGAUUUUUCACAUGCAUAAUCUACGCAUUUAAUUAAAAUUCACAAACUUGGAUCUCAAACGGAGUCAAAAGUAGAAAUGUAAGAAUACUGGAUUCCCAAACAGCAGCAGAUACACAGUAUUUUGUUCAGCUGUGACAAAGACAAAGGGGGGUGGGGUGGGGCAGCAACUUGUGACAGGGAUAAGGAAUGUAUUUAAGUUUAGAGACUCCUUUAUAACCACCGUCUUAGUGAAGCGCUUACAUUCAUUCUUUCAGGUAAGUUUCAUAACAUAAAUAAAUCAAACAAAAAUACACCAAUACUCCCUUUUCCUUUCAAUCACUUCACUUUUACCAAGGCCAGAGCCCCAAUCCAAAUCUAAGUAGCAUAAGGCAGACUCUAACACAGCAAUUCACAGGAAGAGAUGGUUUUUCCUCCAAGACUUCAGCUCAACUAUAAGAGAACAAGUAAAAAAGAAUUCCAAGCAAGUUCUGUAACUCGGGAGUUCUCUGAUGGCCUCAAGGGAUAAGGCUCCUGCGUUCUCACCGCUGUGGCUCUGGUUGCUGCUGGGUGGGAAGGUUCAAUCCCUGGCCCAGGAAUUUCCACAUACUGCCUAUGCGGCAAAAAAGAAAAAAGAGAGAGAGAGAGAAUCUGAAAUAAACGGCUUCAAUCAAUGAAAGAGAGAGAGUUCUAUUAAAGAAUGUGGAAGAACAGGGGCCUCAGCAUUAUUGCUUUGAAAAUCCUCCAUCCUUAAUAAUCUAUGCACCCAUAAAAAAAUAAAAUAAAAACUAAAAAAAAGAAAGAACAACAACAAAAAUAAUAAGCAGUCCACCUGUCCUCUCAUGGAGGUGGGGGCAUGGAAGGCAAAUUUGGGGAAGGGAUGGUCCCACAUAAGCCUGGAUUGGGAGAAGGCUGUGGUACAAGGUCAGAGUGUUUUUAGAACCAGAAGAUGAGGUCUGACAACCUAACAGCUCUCAGCCUCUGAAUGAACUGAAAACACCGAAAUACGGCAGAAGCGACAGAAUCAGAUCUGGCUUUAACUGAGCACCUAAUAUGCACAAGACAUUGUGCUGGGCGUCCUGUGAGGGGGCAUAAAAAAAUAAGAGUUGCAUGGUUUAACCAAAUGGAGCCUACAAACUAGUUUGAGAAAAUUAAAAACUCUGAAAAGAUAAUAGUUCAAUGUGAAAAGUCCAGACAAUAUACUUAGUUUUGAUGCAGAUGCUAAAAACAAGCACCAUAAGAUGAGGUACUGGAAGAUGACCUGUGGCUGUGCUGUUAAGGGAAGCAUCAAGAGUUGAAACACAGGCAAAGUCCUGAAGGGCGACUAUUACCUCCAGCCUCAAACCCCAGUCCAAGGACCCUUCUGAGUAGUGCCUGGAGGUUGCGCAAAGAGAAAAGCACAGCUCUGAAGUCAGACAGACCUGGGCAUGUCCUGCCACCACUGCCUAACAGCUCUGUGCCCUGAGACAAGUGUUCACAUGUUAAGCCUCAGUUUCCUACAAUGGGGGCACUAAUGGUUCCUGUCAAAGGUUUCAUUUAUUCAAUAAAUAUUUGCUAAGAGCUUGUAUAGAACUAGACACUGAAAUACAAGAGUGAACAAGACAGACACAGGACCUGCCCUCAUGGCGCCUUAAAUGACAUACAUGAAGGUUCCACAGAUGAUAUUUAUUUCCAUCAUCAUCUUCAUCAUCAUCUUUAGCACAGUGGUAGAAAGUAUAAGACAUGCUCCAGUAAGAACAAAGACAUCAUCUUAGCAGGAACAAGGAUUCAUCCCCACCCCCCGAAAAAAAAACCAAAACCAAAACACUGGCAUCCUUCAGGAUUCAGUCCUAGAACCUCUUCUUUUCCCUCUCGCCCAAGAAUCUCACCCCAUCUCACAAUUUAAAAAUACUAUCAGAGCUCCUACUGUGGCACAACAGGAUCAGCAGAGUCUCUGGAGCGCUGGGAUGCAGGUUCAAUCCCCAGCCCAGCACCGUGGAUUAAGGAUCCAGCAGAUUGCAAAUGUGGCUUGGAUCUCAUCCCUGGCCGGGAAGCAUGAAUGACUGGCUGACUGAAUGAAUUAAUAAAUAAAUAGAUAAAAUAAAAAUACUACUUAUGUAUACCAAAUUUAGUAUCUCCAGCUCUGGAGCUGUCUCCCAGACUCCAGACUCUAUAUCCAGCUGUCUGUCAGAUGUCUCCGCGUGUACAUCUUAACAGACUUCUCAGACCUCCAAAUCUGAGAAGUACUGAACUCUGGAGCACUGAUGCAGCUGAAUACCAACCAAGAGUAUUCAUUCUUUGGUCUUUUCCCAUCAGCAAGUCAGUAAAUCCUUCACUCCUCUCUUUUCCUUAUGUCUCACAUAUCUAAAGCAUGAAAAGUUUUUUUUUUACUUUUACCUAAAAACAUAUCCGGAUCCACUGACUCUCCAUCUCCAAAGCCAUCAUUCCAGUUCAAGAUUUGAUUCUCAUCUAGGUUAUACUACUACAAUAGCUGCUAUCAUUCCCUUUCCAUAAAGCAAUCACCUCUUAAAAAAUGGAUAACAACAGGGGAGUUUCCCUUGUGGCAUAGUGGAAACGAAUCCGACUAUGAACCAUGAGGUGGCAAGAGUUCGAUCCCUGGCCUCGCUCAGUAGGUUACGGAUCUGGCAUUGCCAUGAGCUGUGGUGUAGAUCACAUAUACACAUGCACACUUGUGUGCACACACACACAAGCAACCCAUUAUUCCUCUAUUCAACUUAAAACUCUCCAGUGGCUCCCAGAUGCCCCUAAAAUGUCGAUGGUCUACAAGGCAUAUAUGACCAGAUGCCCUUUUUAUCUCUCUGCCUCCUCUCAUAAGACCUU
rnacentral:lncRNA from 1 species